GAGGUAGAUGGAGCUUGCUCUAUGUACCUUAGCAGCGAACGGGUGAGUAACACGUAGAUAAUCUGUCCUAUAUUGGGGGAUAGCCCGAUGAAAGUUGGAUUAAUACCGCAUACAGCUAUAUAGUUGCAUGAUUAUAUAGUGAAAGAUUUAUUGAUAUAGGAGGAGUCUGCGGCACAUUAGCUAGUAGGUGAGGUAAGAGCUUACCUAGGCGACGAUGUGUAGCCGGUCUGAGAGGAUGAACGGCCACAAUGGAACUGAGACACGGUCCAUACUCCUACGGGAGGCAGCAGUGGGGAAUAUUGCACAAUGGGGGAAACCCUGAUGCAGCAACGCCGCGUGAGUGAAGAAGGUUUUCGGAUUGUAAAGCUCUGUUAGCAGGGAAGAGGAAGGACGGUACCUGCAGAGGAAGCCACGGCUAACUACGUGCCAGCAGCCGCGGUAAUACGUAGGUGGCAAGCGUUGUUCGGAAUAACUGGGCGUAAAGGAUGCGUAGGCGGUUAAAUAAGUUAUAUGUUAAAUAUAUAGGCUUAACCUGUAGAAAGCAUAUAAAACUGUUUAACUAGAGUGCAGGAGAGGUAAGUGGAAUUCCUAGUGUAGCGGUGAAAUGCGUAGAGAUUAGGAAGAACACCAGUGGCGAAGGCGACUUACUGGACUGUAACUGACGCUGAGGC
rnacentral:rRNA from 1 species